rnacentral:rRNA from 1 species
UUUAUUGGUAGGAUAGAAUGCUAGUCGAGUGGCUCAGCCAAUACGAGCCACGGCAUACAGCUCAGUAACACGUGGCUAAUCUGCCCUUAGGACGAGAACAACCCCGGGAAACUGGGGCUAACUCUCGAUAGGCGAAGAACUCUGGAAUGAGUCUUCACCCAAAUAGUUCAGCGUUACGCUCGUUGGACCGCCUAAGGAUGAGGCCGCGACCGAUCAGGUUGUUGGUGAGGUAAUGGCUCACCAAGCCUUUUACCGGUGCGGGCCGUGAGAGCGGGAGCCCGGAGAUGGGCACUGAGACAAGGGCCCAGGCCCUACGGGGCGCAGCAGUCGCGAAAACUUUGCAAUACGCGAAAGUGUGUCAGGGCUAUCCCGAGUGCCAUCCGCUGAGGAAGGCUUUUACCCAGUCUAGAAAGCUGGGGGAAUAAGGAGAGGGCAAGUCUGGUGUCAGCCGCCGCGGUAAUACCAGCUCUCCGAGUGGUGUGGAUGUUUAUUGGGCCUAAAGCAUCCGUAGCUGGCUAAGUUAGUCCCUUGUUAAAUCCACCGAAUUAAUCGUUGGAUUGCGGGGGAUACUGCUUGGCUAGGGGACGAGAGAGGCAGACGGUAUUUCCGGGGUAGGGGUGAAAUCCUAUAAUCCCGGGAAGACCACCAGUGGCGAAGGCUGUCUGCUAGAACGCGCCCGACGGUGAGGGAUGAAAGCUGGGGGAGCGAACCGGAUUAGAUACCCGGGUAGUCCCAGCUGUAAACGAUGCAGGCUAGGUGUUUGGACGGCCACGUGCCGUUCUAGUGCCGCAGGGAAACCGUUAAGCUCGCCGCCUGGGGAGUACGGCCGCAAGGCUGAAACUUAAAGGAAUUGGCGGGGGAGCACCACAAGGGGUGAAGCUUGCGGUUUAAUUGGAGUCAACGCCGGG